rnacentral:rRNA from 1 species
UACGUAGGGUGCAAGCGUUGUCCGGAAUUAUUGGGCGUAAAGAGCUCGUAGGCGGUCUGUCGCGUCUGCUGUGAAAACUCGGGGCUUAACCCCGGGCCUGCAGUGGGUACGGGCAGACUAGAGUGCGGUAGGGGAGACUGGAAUUCCUGGUGUAGCGGUGAAAUGCGCAGAUAUCAGGAGGAACACCGGUGGCGAAGGCGGGUCUCUGGGCCGAUACUGACGCUGAGGAGCGAAAGCGUGAGGAGCGAACAGG